rnacentral:piRNA from 1 species
UCCAGAGAAAAUGUUGCAAAAAGAGUUACAGU